rnacentral:rRNA from 1 species
GAUGAACGCUGGCGGCGUGCUUAACACAUGCAAGUCGAACGUGAGAAUAGCAAUAUUUGAAAGUGGCAAACGGGUGAGUAACACGUGGGAACCUGCCUCGAAGUGGGGGAUAACGAUUGGAAACGGUCGCUAAUACCGCACGGUUCUGCUCUGAUGGGAAUGGAGCAGAUAAAGAUUUAUCGCUUUGAGAGGGGCCCGCGGCCGAUUAGCUAGUUGGUAAGGUAAAGGCUUACCAAGGCGAUUAUCGGUAGCUGGUCUGAGAGGACGAUCAGCCACACGGGAACUGAGACACGGUCCCGACUCCUACGGGGGGCAGCAGUGAGGAAUAUUGGGCAAUGGGCGAAAGCCUGACCCAGCAACGCCGCGUGGAGGAUGAAGGCUUUAGGGUUGUAAAGCCCUGUGGGGAGAGAAGAAUAAGUGCGGGCUAAUACCCCGCAUGAUGACGGUAUCUCCUUAGCAAGCACCGGCUAACUCUGUGCCAGCAG